AUUGAACGCUGGCGGCAGGCCUAACACAUGCAAGUCGAAUGGUAACAGGAAACAGCUUGCUGUUUCGCUGACGAGUGGCGGACGGGUGGGUAAUGUCUGGGAAACUGCCUGAUGGAGGGGGAUAACUACUGGAAACGGUAGCUAAUACCGCAUAACGUCGCAAGACCAAAGAGGGGGACCUUCGGGCCUCUUGCCAUCAGAUGUGCCCAGAUGGGAUUAGCUAGUAGGUGGGGUAACGGCUCACCUAGGCGACGAUCCCUAGCUGGUCUGAGAGGAUGACCAGCCACACUGGAACUGAGACACGGUCCAGACUCCUACGGGAGGCAGCAGUGGGGAAUAUUGCACAAUGGGCGCAAGCCUGAUGCAGCCAUGCCGCGUGUAUGAAGAAGGCCUUCGGGUUGUAAAGUACUUUCAGCGGGGAGGAAGGGAGUAAAGUUAAUACCUUUGCUCAUUGACGUUACCCGCAGAAGAAGCACCGGCUAACUCCGUG
rnacentral:rRNA from 1 species